rnacentral:lncRNA from 1 species
GGAAACCAAGGGCCCGAUUCGCAGCUGUGCUACUGACUUCAGUGGGAUCGGGCUCAGGAUCGGGUCCGGGAUGAGGGAGGCGGGGAAGAGAGAAUAAAACCCCAUCACCGCAGCAGCGCUGAACUCCUCGCUGCCACUUCAGCCACAGCCUCGUGGCUACUGCGGACACCCCGCGUCCCUCUCCCCGACCUCUUCCCGGCCACUGGCUACCCGCGGUGGGGCAGCUCCCUCCCCCCGCUGUUCUAACCAAUCCCGCUGCCGGGGGGCGGAGGCGGAGGCUGGCUCCGCAUUUGUUAGUCCCUGUGGUGCAGAUGAAGGCAGGCGCCCGCUGCGAAGCGAAGAGGGACUCGCUGUGCGGCCAGAGCGCCCGGCUCCCGUUCCGGCUCCGCCCGUCCUCAAAGUUGGAGCAGGCUCGGGGCAAAGAGCAUGCAGGGCUGGACACCGCCGCAGAGCAAGGGCCAGCGCUCCCCACGCCUCCGGCUCCGCCCUGCCCCCUGCGAUGAACAAGCGGCUGCUGCUGCUCCUCCCCAGGAGGCUGCCUGGACCCCCAGAGAUUAGUGCAAGGCUAACUACAUGUAUAAUCUGUGGCAAGGAGAACUGGGAG